rnacentral:misc_RNA from 1 species
AACGCACGAGACCUGCGGACCUGCGGAGGGAUCAUUUCUGGGUAUUUUUUGAUAAACUUGUGAACACGAGUUCGAGUUCACGAGGGUUAACCGAACCAAAACACCUAUUGAACACACGGUAUUUAUCUGAAUUAGUAGUUAAUUAUUAAAAACUUUUAACAAUGGAUCUCU